UAAUGAGGGAAGCAUGAUACUGUGUACAGAAAUCAAACUUGGUACUGAUGUCUGCUUGCUCUGAUGCCCUCUGGCUCUGAUUUGGCGGGCCUGGAAAUGUGCACAUUU